UAUCGCACUUGACCUUAUACGUAAGCUCGCGGUAAAACCGACAGAUAUGUUUCGACGGUUGUACCCAUAUAACUGCUAUCGCAAAAUUCGCAAUAAACAGAAAAUUUUACUGAGGACCAACAACGCUGCUUCUCCACGUCGUAAUACAGCGGUGAACGAUAUUUCGGGAAAAUGUGUUGCUAAAUCUCCGUCAAACACUACGCUCGCCUUUGGUGACAGCGGAACGCAGUCGCAAGAAAUUGUGGAGGAAAUACCGGAGUUCUGGCAGCUUCAGGUGCACUUGAUUAUUCAGUAACGUCGGCGGCUUUGUAGUUAUACCUUACAUCAGAGCAAACUGCACUCGACAGAGAUCAAGGGCAGCCGCGCCGUUAUAGCUAAGCAAAUUAAGAACAAUUACGCCGCGUCUUCCCACUUCGAGCACGCUCCGACAGCCCAACGAUAGAUAUUUCAAACGUAACCGCACUCGGACGAGCAAAUUUUGCUUCUGCGAAGUGAACGUAGCGGGUAUUUCAAGACGCGUGUUAAACUCACGGCUGUUUCAUUCGUGAACAUUACUUACGUGACGUAAAAUUAUCAGUGAGCAAAACAGUUUUUGUUUCAACGCAAGAAAAGAGAACCGAAACUAGUUGCACGGAUUCAAAUGAUCCAAAGCCGAAGCCGUCAAUAGCAUGACGCCAUUUUUCAGUUGUGUUGCAUCUCGUGCGAGUACGUUGUCGUCGAGUGGUGGUUCUUUAUUCUAUGGAGUGGUUCUGAAAGCGCUGCGUUAGGGGCGACUGCAACCAGGCGUUGCGGCAAGUUACGGUGGGAACUUCUGUCCGUGCUGUGUGAUUGCGACGAGGACGACUGCCGCCAGCAGCGGCGUGUCGCCGAUUUCGUCUUUGCCGACAUCCAGCAAGUGCAGCUCGCCGGACCGUAACAUGCCCCGGAAGUGUUGCGUUUUGCACUGCAUUUUCCUUGUGAUAUGGGAGAUCGCAACGCAGAGACGACCAGAUGCAUACGAAAGACUACCAGCGGAGAGUGACCUGUGCCAUAUUUCUCUUAACCUCUCAGGUAUUCAAGAAAUGGCAACAUCCAGAAGAAGACGCCAUCUUAUCCAGCACGUUAUGGGUACACUCUGGUGGCUCCCGCCCCUGCAUCCUACCACCACCGUGUCCUCACUAUGUUCACUAGGGAGUUCGAAGCCUUUGGCGGCUCCUGCCACUGCGUCCUGCGACCACCGUGUCCUGACUACGUCCACUAGGGAGUUGGCAGCCUUCGUGAUGAUGCCAAGCAGGCUGGAAGCCGACAGAAAGAUUGAGGUUGCCUCGAAAUUUUACCCAAGCCGUGCCACACACUUGGGCCAGGCCUCUUGCAAACGACGUAUAACCAGGCUGAACGCAUGAUGUCGAGUGAGUCCGGAGAUCGAGGCAACCUGCUGUGCAACCUGCUGUGCAACCAGCAUGCAACCUUUGGUGACCCUCUACAUGUUCCACCUAUUUCACAGCUGCACUCAGCUUCCACCUAUCCAAACCGCAUCACCAGCUGUGGUCACUCAUCGAACCAUGGAUGAAUGUUGGGGUGGAGUGAUCUGAAGCGACAUUCUUUUCGUCUCUUCAAAUCCUUAGCAAAUACUUGUGUUAAUAUAAUUAAUAUGUGUCUUUAGUGCCUAGUUUUUAAUGGUUCCUUUCAAUUAGAAUUCUCGCCAUCGAUUCCUGCUAUUAUAAUACAUGUCUGUCUUUAUGCUCAGUUUUUCAUAGUUCUUUUGUACUUGUCUAUGUAAUUGAUAGGUUCAUACUUCUUGUUAUACAGAAGGCUAAAAUGCAAACUUACGGCAUUUUUUUCUUCCUAUUGAUAAUCUACAGCACUGCAAAGUGUUCGAGAAAUGUAACCCAAUGUGGGCUCUGGUGCAAGAAAAAUUUAAGAGCAAUAUAGAGUACUUAUUUCAAACACCCAUUAUUUUUGGAAAAGUAAAGAAUGUAGGAGCACAAAAAAGAAAAUAUUAAACUAGAGAAACAUGAGUUCCCCUCAUAAGUCUGAUAAUAAUGUGACUUCCCUUCACUGCAAAGAUACCAGUAAUAUACUCGCAUACAAGGUUUGAAACAAGAAAGCUAUGAUGCCCUUGGCAUUUCUCAGUGCCUAUUUGUCACACUGACGAAUGUCAAAGGCAUCGUAGGUGUCUUGUACACAUUGGUUUUGUUACACUUUUGAGUAUUGCAUUUCUCAAACCCAAAGGUUUACAGCAGUGCUUUAAAUAGGAAAUGCAUUUCCUAAUUUAUUAGUGCAAGAGGAACAGUACAGAUCAUGUAAAAAUUAUUUUACAGACUAUAUGUCCAUGGAUGCACGCUUCUGAUGACAUAGCAGUGACGUGGUCGUAGGAUGAAUGACUUUAUUUCAGAUUUAAAUAUUGGCUUUCAGGUCUGGGUUAGUCUCCUACACUGAAUAGUCUAGGUCAGAGCCCAUUUACUAGAGAAAGUGAAUUAAACUAGGAAUUAUAAACAUCAAAAGAUCUUGUUUAGGAAAUUAAUGUGACAAUCAGCAAGGUUCUGUGGGCAUUCAUUUCCAAAUUUGUAGGAUAUAUUUUAUGACUGGUUUCAUUAUUGUGAGAACAAAUAUUUUUUUAUUGUCACACUAGAGUUGGCUGCCCCCAUUUGUAUACAACCCCUUUACAGGCUAAAAAUUCAGUGUGUUACCCUAUUUACUCGCAUAAUGAUCGCACUUUAUUGUAAAAAAAAAUUGACUCAAAUUCAGGGGUGCAAUCAUUAUGCUGGCUAAAUUUCCCACAAAAAGAA